rnacentral:lncRNA from 1 species
AUGAGGAAAGACAAACACAAACAUCCUGAAUUGGAGUCCAGUAUGUCAAGAUGGAAAAAUAAUACAUUCGAUGAAGAAAACAAUUUCAAACCUUCAGAUCAGAUUCCAACCCAGCUAACACCUUGACGACAACCCCCAUGAGAGACUGUGAAUCAAAGUAGCCAGAAUCCACAGAUUUAAGGGUUCAAUCCUACAAGACUGCCUCCUCUUGAGUUCCUCUGCCCGGCCGCCCCACUGUCUGGGAAGUGAGAAGCGCCUCUGCCUAGCCGCCCACCAUCUGGGAAGUGAGGAGCACCUCUGCCCGGCCGCCCCACACCACCGCCGCCAUCUGGGAAGUGAGGAGUGCCUCUGCCUGGCCCCCGCAACGUCUGGGAAGUGAGGAGCGCCUUUGCGCGGCUGCUGUGCGACCCUCCAAGUGUGAAGUGACAGCCUUGUGUGUGAUCUUUCUGCCCUCCCCAAGUUUGCAUUUUCGACAUUAAAGUUUACUUUUCAAUUAAAAUUUUUAAAUUGGAGAAUAUAUAAUUUAAAAAAAAAAAAAAAAGACUGCCUCCUCUUAAGAUGCCAGUCACAAGUCCUGGGCUACCAGUAUUUCUGACUAACUGGCUAUAAAUUAGAGGCUCCCACAAACCCCUCCUCAGGUUUGAUAAUUUACUAGAACAGCUCAUAGAACUCAGGAAACACUUUACCUAUGGUACCUAGUUAAUAAUAGAGGAUAUAACUGAGGAACAGCCAGACUGAAGAAAUGCAUAGGGCAAGAUAUGGAAGAGGGUGUGCCAAGCUUCCAUUCCUCUCUGCGUGUGGCAUCCUCCCAGCACCCUGGUAUGUUCACAAACCUGAAGCUUGUUCAAGAGUACAAAAAAUUAGCCGGGUGUGGUGGUGGGUGCCUGUAGUCCCAGCUACUCAGGAGGCUGAGGCAG